CCUACGGGUGGCUGCAGUCGAGGAUCUUCGGCAAUGGGCGCAAGCCUGACCGAGCGACGCCGCGUGCGGGAUGACGGCCCUUGGGUUGUAAACCGCUGUCAGAGGGGAUGAAGGUCUGGGGGGUACACCCCCCAGACUUGACAGAGCCUCAGAGGAAGCACGGGCUAAGUUCGUGCCAGCAGCCGCGGUAAUACGAACUGUGCGAACGUUAUUCGGAAUCACUGGGCUUAAAGGGUGCGUAGGCGGCCCGUUAGGCAGGGUGUGAAAUGCCGGAGCCCAACUCCGGCAUGGCGCCCUGAACCGGCGGGCUGGAGGGCGCUAGGGGUGUGCGGAACUGCCGGUGGAGCGGUGAAAUGUGUUGAGAUCGGCAGGAACGCCGGUGGCGAAAGCGGCACACUGGGGCGCGCCUGACGCUGAGGCACGAAAGCCAGGGGAGCGAA
rnacentral:rRNA from 1 species